rnacentral:rRNA from 1 species
GGACGAACGCUGGCGGCGUGCUUAACACAUGCAAGUCGAACGGAAAGGCCCUGCUUGCAGGGUACUCGAGUGGCGAACGGGUGAGUAACACGUGGGUGAUCUGCCCUGCACUUCGGGAUAAGCUUGGGAAACUGGGUCUAAUACCGGAUAGGAGCCAUCUUUAGUGUGGUGGUUGGAAAGUUUUUUCGGUGUAGGAUGAGCUCGCGGCCUAUCAGCUUGUUGGUGGGGUAAUGGCCUACCAAGGCGGCGACGGGUAGCCGGCCUGAGAGGGUGUACGGCCACAUUGGGACUGAGAUACGGCCCAGACUCCUACGGGAGGCAGCAGUGGGGAAUAUUGCACAAUGGGCGCAAGCCUGAUGCAGCGACGCCGCGUGGGGGAUGAAGGCCUUCGGGUUGUAAACUCCUUUCGCUAGGGACGAAGCUUUUUGUGACGGUACCUAGAUAAGAAGCACCGGCUAACUACGUG